UACGUAGGGGGCGAGCGUUGUCCGGAGUUACUGGGCGUAAAGGGCAUGCAGGCGGUCCGACACGUUUUGUGUGACAGCGGGUGGCUUAACUACCCGAGGAUACGAAAGACGGUUGGACUUGAGGACUCGAGAGGGACACGGAAUUCCGGGUGGAGUGGUGAAAUGCGUAGAGAUCCGGAGGAACACCGAAGGCGAAGGCAGUGUCCUGGCGAGUGACUGACGCUGAGGCGCGACAGCGUGGGGAGCAAACAGG
rnacentral:rRNA from 1 species